AUGGACUCCGCCGACGAGUUAUUUUUCCACAGUUUCCUUUGCGACUCCGACGAUCCGUCGUCCGAUGACGAGGAGGAGAUAUUGACUGCCGUGUUGGUCCAUCACCACCUCAACAACCAGCGGCCGUUGUUCCGUGGCUCCAUUCCGGGCCACCUUCCGGCGUUGAAUCGUAACCGAGAGAGCGGGCAUUUCCUUCUCUGGAAGGACUACUUUGAUACAACAAACCCGUUGUUCAAACAUCACAAAUUCCGCCGCCGGUUCCGUAUGAGUAGGCAUGUUUUCAACCGUAUUAGAGAGGGAGUGGUC
rnacentral:rRNA from 1 species